UAGCUGUAAUGGCCGAAGGGAAACUGUCGCGCCCUCAACUUGCGCCCCGAACCACUUCACGUGACCACGACCUUGACGCCUGGUUCGAAUCCUCGAGUCGCCACCUUUUAUUCCUCGGGGUAAAAGGUUCUCCCGCACUCGUGCUGAGUAAUCCACGAAUGGCUGCGGCGCUGCUAAGACAUGGAAGAGACGCUUGAGGGAAGCAAUUCUGCAGAGGCCUUCCACUCGGGGAUGGCGGCACCAGAUCACGUCGGCGUGCGGGUCGCAGGGAGGACAUUUGACAGUUGACUUUUUUU
rnacentral:SRP_RNA from 1 species